GGAACACAACUAGAAGUUCUUGCUAAAGUUGAAACAUAACGCCCUGCAAGCAGCCACAACUACAGUUAUGUUGCGUGCAGCCUGAAGCUUGUCCCCACGGGGGUCGUGGGCGUGCUGGAGCCUAUCCCAGCAGUUAUCGGGCAGCAGGCAGCGGACACCCCGAACUGGUUGACAGCCAAUCGCAGGGCACA